GCUUGAGGUCAGGAGUUCAGGACCAGCCUGCGCAACAAACUGAGACCUUGUCUCUACAAAAAAAAAAAAAAAAAAAAAAAAAUUUAAAUAGCUGUGCAUACUGGCAGGCACCUGGGGGCCCAGCUACUUGGGAGGCUGAGGCAGGAGGAUUGCUUGAGCCCAGGAGGUUGUUGCAGUGACCCAUAAUUAUGCCACUGUACUUCAGCUUGGGCGAUAGAGUGAGACCCUCUCUCAAAACAAACAAAACAUGUAUAUAUAUAUACACACACACACACACACAUAUAAUGCAAGCGGGGAGUGGUGAGAGAUAGCUUGCCCACAAAUAUUUAUGGGCCCCCUUCUUUUUUAGGCAGGUACUGUGUUUGGUGCUGGGGUAACAAAUAGCAGGGAUAGCACAUCUAAGGAACUUGAACUUUCAAGCAUUAUGCUCCCUUACCCACUAAAAUAAUCUUAAAAACUAGCCCUAGGCAAAACACUCAACAAACCAGGAAUGGAAAGGAAUUUUCUCAACCUGAUCAAGGUCAUCUAUGAAACACCCACAGCUAACAUCAUAUUUAAUGAUGAAAGGCUGAAUGCCCUCCCCCUAAGAUCAGGAACCAGAGGAGGAUGUCCACUCUCGCCAUUCCUGUUCAGUACUGUGCUGGAGGUUCUAGCCAGAAACAAUAGGCAAGAAAAUUAAAUAAAAGGCAUACAGAUUGGAAGGGAAUUUGAAAUUUUAAAAUAAAGCUGUUAUAUCACAGUUUUGAAUGUCAUCCAAUGGAAUUUAAAUAUAUAUAGCAAUUUGUUAUGUACCAUCAUCCAUUUAUAUAGAGAGAUAUAUAAAGCAAAAGCACUCUUGGUACUAUAAUAAAUUCUACAUUACUCGUUUUUCUCCUUGAACUUGUCUUUCUAUUCCAUUUUGUUCUCACAGAAGUUUAUCCUCUGCUAAUUUUAUGCUUGAAAGUCUUUUAUCGAUCAUCCUUUCAUACUUCUCUGCCACACAAAUGUGCAUUUAUGUGGAAAUUUAAUUUGUAAAAACAUUUCCUCGGACCAUAAUCCUUCGAAAAG
rnacentral:lncRNA from 1 species